rnacentral:lncRNA from 1 species
GUACUAUGGACGUAGGUCUAUAAUUAAUUAUGAAUUCAACAAAUUCAAUGUGUAUUUAAUGAAUGCCUACUGUGUGUCCAGAACUAUGUUUAUCCAUUGGAAUAUAAUAGUUAAUACACAAUUAACCCUGCCCUCAAAGAACUGACAAUCUAGUAAGCCGUAAUUAAGCAGGUAACAACCCCGUGUGCCAAAUGCUGGCGAGCUCCCAGCGGUGGAGUGUGCAUCUGCUCUGAGCAGAGUGUGUUGCAUGCAUUAUCUCAUUCAGUCUCCACACAAACCUUUAGGCAGGCACUGUUGUCCCUGUUGCUUGGAUGAGGAAGAUGAGGUUUGGAGAGAUAGAGGAGCUGUAUGGAGGUCACAUAGCUACAAGUGCAGAGCGCAGAUUGAACUCAUCUCUGCCUGAUGCCCAAGUCCAGGCUGCCGGUGGCUUCCCUGUCUCACUUAUGCCCUCCUGCCAGGCUUCUCACAGACGGGCGCGCGGAGGAGGAGCAGGACCGUGCAAACCAAGGUCAGCCUGGGAGGCAGACAUCCGGAGAAACCCGGGGAGCUCGGCUGUUCUCGGAGACACACGUGCUCUCUCGCCCCUGCUGGCUGGCUUGCGUUGCCACUUCCUGAGCCUCUGGGAUGUGGGCGGCAAACAGGCCACCAGCGCUACCCUGGAGUCUGCAAGUCCAUCCUGGGUAACAACUCUCUCAGUAUCCUCAUCUUUUAAAGGGACACAUGAGCAUGUGUCUGUGUGUAGGUAGAGAGAGGGAAGAUUUGAACCCUUUCCAGGAAAGCCCCCUCUCAUCUAUUCUGCUCAGGGACGUGCUCUGGAAACAGAAUUAUAGUCAGGCCUUGGCUGCUCACCUAGACGGCCUUUCCUGGACUCCCUGGGAGUUCGAUGUGAACAGGUGAUGCCAUUGUCACCCGUGGAAGAUUAAGACACUGAAGCUCAGAGAGAAUCUGGUUUUCUGGAUCCUACACCUGGUCAAGAAUCCACACCUGGUCAAGGAUGGACUGCGAGUGCUAGAACUUGAACUCAGCUCCUUCAAUUCCAAAACUAUAGGACCCUUAAAAAAUAUUUUUAAUUUUUUUCUUGCAUUUUCAAAAGUAAUUUGUUUCUUUGUACAUGCUAUCUCAACACAGCCGUCAGAAUAAGCCUUUUAAAAUAUGUCAUAAAAAGACAAUCCAAUUUUAAAAACGAGCAAGGAUUUGAAGAAACAUUUCUUCAGAGAAGAUAUACGAAUGGCUAGUAAGCACCUGAAAAUAUUCUUUGCAUCAUUAGUAAUUAGAGACACGCAAAUCAAAGCCACAAUGAGGUACCACUGUACACCCACCAGGACGGCUGCAAUCAAACCAACAGGCAAUACAAGCAUGGGUGAGGAUGUGGAGAAAUUAGAACCCUCGGACACUGCUGGUGGGAAUGGAAAAUGGCCCAGCCGCCUUGGAAAACAGUUUGGCAGUUCCUCAGAAUGAAAAUAUAUUGAAAGUUGAAAUAUAUUGAAAAUUGAAAACAUACGUCAAUGUGAAAUCUUGUACACAAAUGUUCAUAAUGUUAUUAUUAAUAAUAGCCAAAAAGUGGAAACAACCCAAAUUUCCAUCAACUGGUCAACAGAUAAACUAGGUGUGGUUUAUCUAUACAAUGGAAUAUUAUUUGACAGUAAAAAGAAAUGAAGUACUCAUACGUGCUAUGACACGGAUGAACCUUGAAAACAGCAUGCUAAGUGAAAGAAGCCAGUCACAAAAGGCCACAUAUUAUAUGAUUCCAUUUGUGUGAAAUGUCCGGAACAGGCAAAUCCAUAGAGACAGCAAGGAGAUUAGUGGUUGCCUGGGGCUGGAGGAGGG